AUUGAACGCUGGCGGCAGGCCUAACACAUGCAAGUCGAGCGAGUGGCGGACGGGUGAGUAGUGUCUGGGAAACUGCCCGAUGGAGGGGGAUAACUACUGGAAACGGUAGCUAAUAACGCAUACCAUCGGAUGUGCCCAGAUGGGAUUAGCUAGUAGGUGGGUGAAUGGCUCACCAAGUAGACGAUCCCUAGCGGGUCUGAGAGGAUGACCAGACACACGGGAACUGAGACACGGUGCAGACUCUUACGGGAGGCAGCAGUGGGGAAUAUUGCACAAUGGGCGCAAGCCUGAUGCAGCCCUGCCGCGUGUAUGAAGAAGGCCUUCGGGCUGUAAAGUACUUUCAGCGAGGAGGCGUUACUCGCAGAAGAAGCACCGGCUAACUCCGUGCCAGCAGCCGCGGUAAUAC
rnacentral:rRNA from 1 species